AGAGAAAUAAUGGGCCAUCCAUAACAAGAGUGGCAGCAGCCGGAUUGAGUGGAGAGUGUCAUCGCAGAGAUAAAGGGUCUUUCCUUCUAUCUUCCACCCUUCCAGGUGAGCCCAAAUGGUAUCAACCUUAUCUUUUUCCUUUUACUUUUAAUCCAUCAAAAGGUUAUUUUACUUUUCAUAAUUGGCUCUCAUGAUGCCCAGAAAUGCAUGCAAGUUAUUCGUUUGGAGGGUAAGUAAACAAUAGUACUACUACCACUGAUGUCCGUCCCCUUGGAAGGAGGGAAAGAAAUUUUAGUACAAUUCUACCACAACAAAUGUCCCCUACACUUUGAAUCAACAAUCAUUCAAGUCAAAACCCAAACUUAUCAGUAAUAGAAAUAGGGUCAUGGAAACCAGUCAAAUCAAUUUAAGCCCUAUGAAAACCAAUACAAAAAUUAUGUCUACCUAGCUUAAUAUGUGGUCGCAUUAAUGCAUAUUACUUUACUAGUACAUUAGUCCAAUGUUUAGUAUAUUACAUAAACUUCAAUAUAUAUUUUAUUCCAUUUGGUUUUAUCACUCUUUUUUUUAUCACUGAAUAUGUAAAUUAACUCACUAAUUGGAUUAACUGUGUGAGGUUAUUCCAGCUUACUAAUGGUUUUGAUUUGAAUCCUAUGUAUAACGAGCUAUUUCUACCCAAAAGAAAUUAUCUCAGGUUUUAUUACAAGAAAUCUUACUUGAAUUGAAUAGGUAAUUCGAGCCGUAUUUGUAUUGUACAUGACCCAAAAUCAUCAAAACCAUCAAGGACUAGGUACAAAACAGCUUGUUACUCUAGUCAGUUAUGUUAUAAAAACGAUUUUUCUCAGUGACAAAAAUGUUACACAAACAAGGCUUAUCUAAGCAAGUUACAUGGUUGAAUAUAUCUAUCUACAUUUCAUCAAUGAUGAAUAUGAUACAAAAUACGACUAUGGGUGUACCAAAGCUGUUUCAUGUACAUCUGUUGAGCGAAGUAGUCAGUUAUCUGAGUAUUGGAGUAAGCCAAAAUCACAGCCUUCCCAAGACACAGCACAGUGUUGCCUUUUCAAUUUCAUUCUUUUUACAAUAUCAGUGGUUAAUAUUUUUUUUAUUCAACUCCUGGUGUGACGAUCUUUGUCAAGAUCAUCAAACUCCCAUUCACUUAUCUCUUCUGCUGAGUCAUCUUCACUUAAUUUAUCAAGUUCUAUUUCUAUUUCUGAUCUUCCAGGCAUUAUUGAGAAAGAGUUUUUUCUCACUACAUCUUGCUUGUGUUUUUUAGCCGAGGGAGGAGAAGGAGUUCUGGAGACUAUUUGACUUGAUGGUGUUUCUGACCUUUCAGUUGGAAUCUCAAGUUCCAUUUUUGGCCUCUCAAUAGAUUCAAAUUCGUCUUUUAUUUUCUCAAUGGCAUCAAACAGUUGUGUCACCUUGUCGCUGUCUUUUCUAUAUCAAAAUUGUAAAUGUUAAAGGGAAGAAACAUUUAUAUAUGUAUGUUAAUAUGGAAAAAGAAAAAGACAAGAGGCCAGGGAAGAAAGAGAGAAAGACACAACAUACCUGAAAAUGCCUUCCUUUUGAAUGUGAUAUUGCUUGUUAAUGGUGUCCACUAUAUUCAGAGUGGCUAAAAACUAACAAGUAGAAUAAGAAAUAAGCAUUUGUAUAAGACCACAAAAUCUGGCACAACAGUUUGACUGAAUUUAGCCCUAUCAUGUCAUCUCACAAAUAAAAUUAUCUUCUAAGAGAGGCCUGAUACAUGUUCACUUCACAUAUAGUGAUAUAAAUCAACAUUGAAAAGAAAGAUACCUUGGAUUCAAUAUCCAAGUAUUCGUCUUCAAGCUUUUUCCUUGGAUUUGCUAAUUUCAAACCUUCAUUGUCUACUAUUGAUGACACCGGUAACCUGAUAUAAAAAUCAAUGGUUGGAAGCAUGGUUUUUACCCAAUAGACAAUUCAGAGAGGCAUGACACCAUACCCUGGUCUGAAUCUUAAAUUCUCCACAAGUAUUCUUAUUUGAGUAACAGACGAAGCCAAUUUUUCCUGACAUAUAAGCAAGCCGGUGAUCAGAAGAUUCGGAAAAUGCAGUAUGAUAAAGAUAAUGAUCAAUCUAGGGUGAUUUGUUACCUUGUAAGAAUGCAGAAGAGGAACCACCAAAUCCACAAAAUGAUAACCAUAUCUCUCCAGUUCAGCACUUUUAUGUGCAAUAAGAAAAUAGACAAUACGAAUAUUAAUAAAUGAAAACAUGCACUUUGCAAAGCAAUUUGCAUAAUAACUUUGAAAUUUGUUAUAUCUCCACAUUUAUUUGAUACUAUUUGUUUGCCAAUGCGAUUAAACUACAAAACAUACUUGACCUCCUCAUCCUUUCUCUUUAUUUCUGAAACUUGGAAGACCCAUGUGCUCUCUAGAAACUUGAUCCAUCUAUCAACAACCGUCGCUUCUACUGUAUAAGAACCAAUGGCUCGCACCAUCUCAUCUUCCUGAUAUCAGAAAACUUUAUGACAAUAAGACAAAUAACAAAAUGCAUUAUAUCAUAUUAUUGAUUCUAGGCUAAAUGAGAGAUGAAAGAAACAGUUUUCAAUUAUGAGAAACUUACUUCACAAGAAGUACAAGUAGUUUUUCACAUAAAGGUUAUUGAUAUGAAAAAGUGACAGUUGACUAAAACUUAUAGCUGUCCACAAUUUAACAAAUGUCCUAUACACUAAUAACCCCCUUCAACUCAAUUGGCUGAAAAUUAGAAACAGGUUCUUAUCUACAAUAGGGAUAUGAUAAACUUAAAGCUUCUUAGCUAAAACUUUCUCUUUAACAAAGAAUAUAUCAAUUUCCAUAUGUUUAGUUUUGAAGAACUAGAUUAUGAGUAACUACUACAACACUUUGAUUAUAACUGCACAGUGCUGGAAUGAGAGAGGAAAUUGAUAAUUCAAUUAAAAGUGUUUGAAUCUAGGUAGGUAACUUCAGCAGUAGCGUGAGCAAGACAACGAUAUUCAGCUUCCGUGGACGAUCUAACUACGACGGUUUGUUUCUUGAACCACCAAGAGGUUACUAGGUUUGCACAAAAAUAAAUCAUUACACCUGGUGCAGAGGCAAUCAUCAAACAGAGGCCCAAACAGCAUUAGAAAGAGUUUUAGUGGAAAAUGGUUGUGAAGAAGGAGCAACUUGAAAUGUAAGAAUGAUGCACAAAACCCUUUUAAGUGUGUCAAAAUAUGCUUAACAACCAUCCAAUGAGAAUUCAUAGUAUUUGUCAUAAAUUGACAAACUUUAUUCACAGCAUAACUCUACUUUGGUCGUGUAAUGGUAACAUAUUGGAGCACCAGCAACUAAUCUAUAAAGAGUAAGAUUGUUGAAAAAAUUUUAGCAACCUUUUGAAAGUUUGCAAUGAGAUAUCAUAGGAGAAGACACAAAUUGAACUUCAAUAAUCUUAGAAUGUGUUCUUCAUCUACUUUCUUCUCUUAGACAUUAAACUUCUUCAACAGAUAUACAUAUUCUUUUGUUUUAAUCCUUCUUUUAUAUUUUUUUCAUUUAGUCAACUCCUCUUUCGUCAAAUCUGAAGUAAAACUUUUGUCUUGCAUAUAAAUUUGAAUAUUUCUAGGUUGUUUGCAUAUUUAAUCACACAAAGUUUGUUUUCAAAAGACACCACCUUAUAACAUUUCUUUAAUAGUUAAUACUUUACAAAUUUUGAUUAAUCUCAAAAACAUACAAGACAUCAAAAAUUAAUUUAACACCUGAAUGAAUUUUAAUUGCAAUUGUUCCUCUACUUUUCACAACAAUUUGUUCACCAUUCCCUACUCUUACUUUAGAAAUAUCAUAUUUGUUGAAAUCUUUAAAAAGUUCUUGAUCAUAACUCGCGGUUUGUACAACCACAAUCAAUAAGCAACCAUUGUAGAUUUGUUGGUUGUAAAACAUGAUGUUGCAAGAAGUAGUUCCUUUUCUGAUUCGUCAUCAACAAUCUUGACAACUUCUUGGAGAUGUUGGGAUUUGCAUAUCUUUUCUAUAUGUCCCAUUUGACCAUAUUUCUGACAUUUUACAUUUGGCCUUCACCAACACUUGUUGUGUUGAUGAUUAUUUUUGUUGCAUAAUCAGGAGAAUUAUGUUAUAAUUAAGUGCAGAUUCCAUUUUAUAUUUAUUAGGACAGAUUUGUUAGUGAUUUGAUUUUAUUUGAUUUGUACAGCUUUAAACACUCAUUAUUUCUGACUUUCAUUGCCUAUUAUUUCUUUCCUUAAUUAGGUUGCAAAAUAGUCUAUAAAUAGAGACUGUAAUCACAUUUGUAAGAUAUCUCAGAAAUAUAUUUCAUCUAUUUCUUUCCACUUGGUAUCAGAGCUCCUGAUCUGGGAGACUCUGCUUCUGCAAUUUUAUUUUAUUUUUAGCCGCCUUCAUUGCUGUAAUCAUUUUCCUUGACAGCCUUCAUUGCUGUAAUCAUUUUCCUUGGCAGCUUUCAUUGCUGCAAUUUUAUUUAUUUUUGGACAGCCUUCAUUGCUGCAACUUUCUAUUUUCCUUAUCUUUUCUCCAUUGACCACCACCAUCACCUUGCACCAUUGACCGUUACUGCCACCACCAUUGACCGCCGCUGACCACCACCACCGCCGUCGCUCGCCGGAAACUGCACCGCUCGCCGGAACUGCAACUGUUCGCCGGAAACCGCCAUCGGAAAAUUUUUCCGGCAGAUUUUUUUUUUGUGAACAAGAUAAAAUUUUGCCAAUCUGAAAAACUCAAUUGGUUUUGAGCUCUCAUGGACUCCCUUAGUAAGCCAUCUAGCUAUUGUUCCUUUACUAUGAGUGGUAAGACUUCUAGUUUUUUAUCCUUUAAUGCUUCUAGUACUGAAAAUAUCUGGAUUAUAGACUCUGGUGCUACUGAUCAUAUGACACCUCAUUCCUCUUCUUUUUCAUCCUACACUGCUUUAUCUGGUAACCCAUAUAUUACUGUUGCUAAUGGUUUCACUACCCCCAUUAAUGGUCGUGGUAACAUUCACCUUCAACCUUCAUUUCCUUUAAAAAAUGUGCUUCAUGUUCCCAAACUAUCCAAUAACCUCUUGUCUAUUCAAAAGAUUACCCAAGAUUUAAAUUGUGCAGUGGUAUUUUUCCCCUCCCAUUGUGUUUUUUAGGAUCUUGCCACGGGGAAGACUAUUGGAAUUGCUAAAGAGCAGGGCGGGUUAUAUUAUUUACAGCAUGAAGAAAGUAAAAAGUGUGCUAGACUACAGGCACACACUUCUAAUCUUCAGCAAGGUCGUGAAUCUUGGUCAUCCUCUCAGAUAUGGCUUCAACCCAGACGUCUUGGUCAUCCUCCAUUUAGUACCCUAAAGUCCUUAUUUCCUGUUGUAUUUACAAAAGUGUCUGCUGAGUCAUUUCAUUGUGAUGUUUGUUAGUUUGCUAAACACCAUCGGACAACUUUUCCUCCCAAUGGUAAUAAAAGUUCUAAACCUUUUGAUCUUAUUCAUUCAGAUGUAUGGGGACCUUCACCUAUUCCUAAUAUCUCGGGUGCAAAAUGGUUUGUUUCAUUUAUUGAUGAUUGUACUCGGGUUACUUGGAUAUUCCUCAUGAAAGAUAAGUUUGAAGUUUUUCACUUAUUUGUAAAGUUUUACAGAAUGAUUCAAACACAAUUUGAAAGUCCAAUUAAGAGAUUGCGUUCUGAUAAUGGAAGAGAAUAUGUGAACCAAAACCUUUCCAAGUUCCUUCAAGAAAAUGGAUUUGUUCAUGAAUUAACCUGUGUGGACACUCCUCAACAAAAUGGGGUUGCUGAAAGGAAAAAUCGUCAUCUCCUUGAAGUUACUCGAGCUUUACUUUUCCAAACAUCUGUUCCUAGAUCUUACUGGGGGGAAGCAGUCCUAACUGCCACUUAUUUGAUUAAUAGAUUACCCUCUCGGGUUCUAGAGGGUGUUACUCCUAUUCAGGUUAUGACCACAUUCUAUCUUUCUAUUCCCAUGUUGAAUAGUCUUCAGAAUCGUGUCUUUGGUUGUCCUACUUUUGUCCAUGUUCAUAGUCCUUAUCGGGGUAAGUUAAAUCCUCGCGCCAUCAAAUGUGUCUUCAUCGGUUAUGCCCCCAACAAAAAGGGGUACAAAUGUUAUCAUCCUCAAAGUCGUAAAGUUUAUAUUUCCAAAGAUGUCACCUUCCAUGAAACAGAGUCUUUGUUUCCCAAUUCUCAGCUUCAGGGGGAGAGUAUUCAAGAAGCUGAGGACCUUGAGUUGCCACCUUUUCCUUUGUUGCAGGAUUUUGUUCUUAGGGAGAAUGACAAAGACCCUAUGCCAACAUCAUUGCCAGAGAAGAAUAAUGAGGACAAAUACUUUGGGAAACAAUAUCAACGAAGGCAACAAGAACCCGUCCUGGUCGAACAGCAACUUCAAUUGUCCGAACCGGAGGUAAGAACUCAUACCUAUGAGACUUUUGAGGACACCUUAAAUGAAACUAACCUAGACGAUUUACCUAUUGCCUUGAGAAUAGAAAAAAGAUCUUGUGCCAAAUAUCCUAUAUCCCAAUUUGUGUCUACAGAAAAACUUUCUAUGCAGCACCAGAGUUUUCUUUCAGCUAUUGAUUCUAUCAGAAUCCCUACAUCGGUACAAGAAGCCUUAAAAGAUGAGAACUGGAUUCGAGCCAUGAAUGAAGAAAUGAGCGCAUUAGAAAGGAAUGAGACUUGGGAGAUUGUAGAGAGACCAAAAGAUAAGAAAGCAGUGGGUUGUAGGUGGAUAUANNNNNNNNNNNNNNNNNNNNNNNNNNNNNNNNNNNNNNNNNNNNNNNNNNNNNNNNNNNNNNNNNNNNNNNNNNNNNNNNNNNNNNNNNNNNNNNNNNNNGGAUCGGUAUAAAGCAAGGUUGGUUGCAAAAGGGUACACUCAAACCUAUGGGAUCGAUUAUGAGGAGACUUUAGCUCCAGUGGCAAAAAUGAAUACAGUCAGGAUUAUUCUCUCCCUGGCAGCACACUUUGGUUGGGCAAUGCAUCAAUUUGAUGUUAAAAAUGCCUUCUUGCAUGGAAGCUUGGAGGAAGAAGUAUACAUGGAGAUUCCACCUGGUUAUGGUGUUGUUAAUGAAGGGAAUAAGGCGUGCAGACUUAAGAAGGCCCUAUAUGGUCUUAAACAAUCAUCCCGUGCUUGGUUUGGAAGGUUUACUCAAGCUAUGGUAUCUUUGGGGUACCGACAAAGCCAAGGUGACCAUACUCUAUUUAUAAAACAUUCUCAUAAUGGUAAACUCACUCUACUUUUGGUCUAUGUAGAUGAUAUGAUUAUUACAGGUGAUGAUGAGAUUGAAAAACAAAUUUGAGGGAGAGACUAGCUGCUCAAUUUGAAAUGAAGGAUCUUGGGAAGCUGAAGUACUUCCUUGGGAUAGAGGUUGCUUAGUCGAGACAGGGCAUCUUUAUUUCUCAAAGGAAAUACAUCCUUGAUCUUCUCAAAGAGACUGGUAAGUUGGGUUGUAAGCCCACUGGAGUGCCAAUAGAGCAAAAUCAUAGGAUUGGGAAUGAUGAGGAAAACCCAAAAGUGGAGAAGACACAAUAUCAAAGACUUGUGGGAAAACUCAUUUAUCUAUCACACACUAGGCCAGACAUAGCCUAUGCAGUUAGUGUGGUUAGCCAAUUUAUGCAUGAUCUAAGAGAAAGACACUUGCAGGCUGUAAAUAAAAUUAUUAUUCAGUACUUAAAAGCCUCUCCAGGAAAAGGAUUGCUAUUCAAAAAGGGGGAAAACUUAUCCAUGAAAGUAUAUACUGAUACUGACUAUGCAGGAUCGAUUGUUGAUAGGAGAUCCACCACAGGCUACUGCAUGUUCUUGGGUGGAAAUCUGGUAACAUGGAGGAGCAAGAAGCAAAAUGUAGUUGCAAGAUCAAGUACAGAAGCAAAAUUUAGAGCCAUGGCUCAAGGGGUGUGUGAACUCUUAUGGAUGAAGAUCAUACUUGAUGACCUAAAAAUAAAAUAUGAAGCUCCUAUGGGCUUGGCGUGUGAUAAUAAGUCCGCUAUCAGUAUUGCACACAAUCCGGUUCAACAUGAUCGAACAAAGCACGUAGAGAUAGAUCGACACUUUAUUAAAGAGAAGUUGGAUGAUGGUCUUAUAGCCACUGAGUACAUCCCUUCAAGACUCCAAUUGGCAAAUAUGUUUACUAAGGGACUUCCCACAAAACAAUUUGAAGAUCUUACUUGCAAGUUGGGAAUGAUAGAUAUACAUUCACCAACUUGAGCGGAAGUGUUGCAUAAUCAGGAGAAUUAUGUUAUAAUUAAGUGCAGAUUCCAUUUUAUAUUUAUUAGGAUAGAUUUGUUAGUGAUUUGAUUUUAUUUGAUUUGUACAGCUUUAAACACUCAUUAUUUCUGGCUUUCAUUGCCUAUUAUUUCUUUCCUUAAUUAGGUUGUAAAACAGUCUAUAAAUAGAGACUGUAAUCACAUUUGUAAGAUAUCUCAGAAAUAUAUUUCAUCUAUUUCUUUCCACUAUUUUUCUUACAAUAGGGACAAGACAGAAAAAUAUGAUUAUUUUUGUUGUUUUGGAUCUAUUUGCUUCUUUUGUAGUUCUUGACAAGUAAAACACCUUUGAUAAUAUUAAGUAAAGUACCUUCAACAACAUGAUCUUCUCUCAUUAAUCUUGUUCUUAUUGUGCUUGAAAGGCAUGUAUCACUUCUGCCAAAGUAAUUUUUGACAGAUCUUUUGUAUUUUUCAACGAAGUAAUAGAUGUUUCGUAUCUCUCUAACAUAGUUACCAAAAUUUUCUAAAUUAGUUUAGAAUCCGGAAACUCCUUAUCCAAUAAUUUUAAACACCCAACAAUUAUUUUGAGUAUUCUUUAACGGUCUCGGACUCUUAUUAAAUUUAGCACUUUCAUGUCUCAUUUCCUUCAUAUUCUUCUUUCAAACAGUCCCAAAUUUCUUUGGAGGACUUUAGGGUCAUGAUUCUAGUGAGGAUCAUUUCUGAAACACCAACAAACAAACAUGACUUCACCUUUGCCUUCUUUGUUUUUCUUUCAUUUUGACUUUUGAUAGGCCAUGGUGGGAUUUUUAAGUAGCAGAUCAACAAUAUAAUCCUCUUCCACAACUUCCCAUAAAUCAAACCCCUCUAGAUAGGUGUUCAUUCUUACAACUCAUAGAUCGUAAUUUUCACCAUCGAAGAGUGAAUAGUGACCUUGAGAAAUUUCCUUCUCCUUCCAUUCUAUAGGUCUAAUAAGAACAAUGACUCUAGAUACCACUUACUAACUUUUUGUGUUUUUGGAAAAUAUAAGAGAUAUUUAUUCAUGUACUCUAUGUAUACAAAGCAAAAAAUGUAAUAGAAUAUCAAAAACUAACAAUAUCUCAAUCCUAAAUUUCUAAAUUUAAAUAAUAAUUAUUUUUAUCUUUAUCUAAACAAUAUUUAAAUUGAAAAAUUUCCUAAAAACUAAUUUAAAUAAAAGAUAUCAAGCAAAUAUUCUUAAUAGGAACAGACACUAUUUCAUAGUCAGUAUUACUUUAUCAAAUAUUGAUAUACUCACCAAGGCUUUCAAAGUUGAUGAAUGAACAUUUCGAGCAUGGUGUUAGUUCAUCCAAUAGUGAGUGGCACAACAACUCCAAUGAACUUAACUAAGAUAGGCUCUAAAUAACUAUGAUAUCAGCUUAGUAAGUGAGUUUAUACAUAACUCAGCUUCACAAAACCAACUUAUAAGAUAUAUAUAUAUAUAUAUUAUGAUUUGGCCAUUUCCCUAGUUAAUGUGGGAUCUUCCAUGGGAGGGAUUGUUAAAAAAAACUUAUCUAUUUUGUUUUAAUUCGUAAAUUGAGUUAAAAUAAAAUAGAUAAGUUUUUCUAACAAUAAGUAACAAGUUCUUUCAUGGCAGGUUCAAACUCUCCAUGUUUCGCUUUAUAUAGUUUUUGGGAGUUUCUUGUUUUUCACCAUAGGUUUUGGCCUAGUCCUUCAAUAUUUGUUUGUAUUUUUUUUUUAUGUUAUUUUUCAUGUGAUAGCAUAUGAUAGUUGAAACAUGGACUGUCAUCUAACUGAAAUGUCAGGUUUUAUUAUGAUGCUUAACAUGGGUUUUAUAAAAUAAAAGUAACAAGGUGGUCCACUGUAUCUAUAAUUACAAACUUGUGCCUUUCGAAACUGUCUCACGAUAAGAAAAGAAAGGGAAGAGGUGACUCUAGACAAAGAGGAGGGAUUUUCAUGUAGUGGUGGUUCAAAACCAUCACUGUGUUAAUUACACACAAAUAUAAAUAUAUAUAUAAAUAUAUAUAUAUAUAUAUAUAUUGCUUUGUGUCGGUUUUUAACUGCUAAUAAAUUUAUCAUAAAAGAAUCAAGGAUUAAAUACACAAUUGAGCCUUAAUUUUAAUAUAGCCCUCUAAACGUGAAUAUUUAUUUGUUUUCAUGAAGAUGUGAGCCUAGGGCAUGAAAUAAACUUGUACCUUUGUUUUUAGAAGUGCAAUAAUUUCAUUGCUUGCUUCAUCAAAUUGCUCUUUUUCUUCUUUUGCAUUAUGCAGGCGUAUACGUGCAGAUGUCAACAAGGUGUUGACCUGCACAAAUAUUCCAAGCUAAUAUAAGGCAAGCAAAGGAUGACACCAACAGAUCAUAAUGAAGACUAAAACCUUUUUCAGUUUGUCUUCAAGCUCGUUUUUCUGCCU
rnacentral:lncRNA from 1 species